rnacentral:rRNA from 1 species
AAGUCGUAACAAGGUUUCCGUAGGUGAACCUGCGGAAGGAUCAUUACAGAGUUCAUGCCCUUACGGGUAGACCUCCCACCCUUGAAUUAUAUAACUUUGUUGCUUUGGCAGCCCUCACCGGCUGCCAGAGAAUAAACCAAACUCUUUUUAAAUAUAUCGUCUGAGUACUAUAAAAUAGUUAAAACUUUCAACAACGGAUCUCUUGGUUCUGGCAUCGAUGAAGAACGCAGCGAAAUGCGAUAAGUAAUGCGAAUUGCAGAAUUCAGUGAAUCAUCGAAUCUUUGAACGCACAUUGCGCCCCUUGGUAUUCCGGGGGGCAUGCCUGUUCGAGCGUCAUUAUAACCCUCAAGCCUAGCUUGGUGUUGGGGCAUGCUUCUGCAGCCCUUAAAAUCAGUGGCAGUGCCUGUUGGCUCUAAGCGUAGUAAUACUCCUCGCUAUAGAACCCAAUGGAUACGCGCCAGAACCCCAAAUUUUCUAUGGUUGACCUCGGAUCAGGUAGGGAUACCCGCUGAACUUAAGCAUAUCAAUAAGCGGAGGAAAAGAAACCAACAGGGAUUGCCUCAGUAACGGCGAGUGAAGCGGCAACAGCUCAAAUUUGAAAUCUGGCUCUUUCAGGGUCCGAGUUGUAAUUUGUAGAAGAUGCUUUGGGUGUGGCUCCGGUCUAAGUUCCUUGGAACAGGACGUCAUAGAGGGUGAGAAUCCCGUAUGUGACUGGUCGCCUUCGCCCGUGUAAAGCUCUUUCGACGAGUCGAGUUGUUUGGGAAUGCAGCUCAAAAUGGGUGGUAAAUUUCAUCUAAAGCUAAAUAUUGGCCAGAGACCGAUAGCGCACAAGUAGAGUGAUCGAAAGAUGAAAAGCACUUUGGAAAGAGAGUUAAACAGUACGUGAAAUUGUUGAAAGGGAAGCGCUUGCAACCAGACUUGCACGCGGUUGAUCAUCCGGGGUUCUCCCCGGUGCACUCUGCCGCGUUCAGGCCAGCAUCGGUUUUGGUGGUUGGAUAAAGGCCUUGGGAAUGUAGCUUCUUUCGGGGAGUGUUAUAGCCCAAGGUGCAAUGCAGCCUACCGGGACCGAGGACCGCGCUUCGGCUAGGAUGCUGGCGUAAUGGUUGUAAGCGACC